ACUUCAGAUGAAGCUCUCCCAUUGACUUUGCUCAUCCUCUGGGAACCUGAGCUGCUCUGGGAACCCUCACUGCCCGAUCCUCCUCCACGGGCUCACCGUCCACUUCCCCGGUUGCUCGUCUUCUCGCCCAACACCGACCUUCGAUUUGAAAUAUCCAAACUUCCUUGACAACUGUCUUAAGCUUAUAUUACAGGAUGACCAACCCCUCUCCAAAGACGAUGAUCCUUAUUGAUACUGGAACACGCCAUCGCCACUGCAGACCAAGGGCUCAUCAAUACAAAAAUAAACUUCAUCGCCCCUGAUCAGCAAGAAGCAGUUACUGAAGACUAACCUUCACCCCUUCCCAAUCCUCUACCACUUAUAAAACAGAAAAGGGAGGAAUGUAAGAAUAUAUAAUUUAUCCUCCUUUUGCCCCAUGGUCCCAAGCACAUAAGCAGGUGAGAAUUAUGCCUGGGCUUGCCUGGGGCUUUGCUGGGUUUACCCCACCUUAUUUCUAAACAUCCUGACCCUCCCCCAAGGCAACCGCCCGAGCAGAUUCACCACAAUAAAAGGCACCACGCUGCUGCCCCCUUUCUGUCUGUCUCGCUGCUCUGUUUGUCUCUGUCU